UGGGGAAUAUUGGACAAUGGGCGAAAGCCUGAUCCAGCCAUGCCGCGUGUGUGAAGAAGGUCUUCGGAUUGUAAAGCACUUUAAGUUGGGAGGAAGGGCAGUAAAUUAAUACUUUGCUGUUUUGACGUUACCGACAGAAUAAGCACCGGCUAACUCUGUGCCAGCAGCCGCGGUAAUACAGAGGGUGCAAGCGUUAAUCGGAAUUACUGGGCGUAAAGCGCGCGUAGGUGGUUCGUUAAGUUGGAUGUGAAAUCCCCGGGCUCAACCUGGGAACUGCAGUCAAAACUGGCGAGCUAGAGUAUGGUAGAGGGUGGUGGAAUUUCCUGUGUAGCGGUGAAAUGCGUAGAUAUAGGAAGGAACACCAGUGGCGAAGGCGACCACCUGGACUGAUACUGACACUGAGGUGCGAAAGCGUGGGGAGCAAACA
rnacentral:rRNA from 1 species